UUAUCCUUUUAGUUAACUUGGUUGGAAAUUGGAACGACACAGAGAAGAUUAGCAUGACCCAUGCGUAAGGAUGACACACACAAAUAAAAAAAUGAUCCACAUUUAA
rfam:Lupinus angustifolius cultivar Tanjil contig_13475, whole genome shotgun sequence.